AUUUAAUUUUCUCAUGGUUUCAGGGAAUUCAGACCACGGUCAGCUGUCUCCAAGGCAGUGACAUCAUAGCAGAAGGGAGUGGUGGAACAAAUAUACUUAGCUCAUGUUGGUCAAGAAGCAGAACAGGAGAACAACGCCAGAAAGGAAGAGGCUAGGGAGCAAGAUGAUGAUUCCAUGACACCCCCCAGAUCCCCCCAGCAGCAGUGUGCUUUACUGCUACCCUAUGCAGCUCCCAAGCCAAUCACACUGACACAAUUAAGUUGGACCACUACCCUUUGCAUGGAUGAAAUCUGGCAAAGAGAUUUGAAAAAACUGCCUAGGGGAUUGGUAAAUUCUCCGUGUAUCUGUGGAUGGCUGAUAUAUAGGCAACAACCUGAGGGAGAAAGACCUACUGCAGAUGUUGUGUCACCAACAGACAGACUUGUACCUGGGACAGAAUGAAAAGGCAAAG
rnacentral:lncRNA from 1 species